rnacentral:ncRNA from 1 species
ACUCGGCAAAAUGACCCCGUAACUUCGGGAGAAGGGGUGCCAUCCUCCGGGAUGGCCGCAGAGAAAUGGCCCAAGCAACUGUUUAGCAAAAACAUAGGUCUAUGCAAAACCGAAAGGUGAAGUAUAUGGGCUGACGCCUGCCCGGUGCUGGAAGGUUAAGAGGAGAGGUUAGCUUCGGCGAAGCUUUGAAUUCAAGCCCCAGUAAACGGCGGCCGUAACUAUAACGGUCCUAAGGUAGCGAAAUUCCUUGUCGGGUAAGUUCCGACCCGCACGAAAGGCGUAAUGAUUUGGGCACUGUCUCAACAACACACCCGGUGAAAUUGAAGUACCAGUGAAGAUGCUGGUUACCUGCGCCAGGACGGAAAGACCCCAUGGAGCUUUACUCUAGCUUGAUACUGGGAUUCGGUACGAUAUGUACAGGAUAGGUGGGAGACUGAGAAGCAGGUCCGUCAGGAUCUGUGGAGCCGCUGUUGGGAUACCACCCUUAUCGUACUGGGUUUCUAACCCAUAGCUGUUAUCCAGCGUGGGGACAAUGUCUGGUGGGGAGUUUGACUGGGGCGGUCGCCUCCGAAAGGG